ACGAAUUGUAAUCGGGGGUUGAUGCUGGGAGCUGUUUCUUUAGCUCCAUGUGCUCGCCCCCUCAUCCAAAUUGCCACCUGUGCACAUUUCGGAGGGUCUCCCAGUAUGAUUGCCUGUUUGACGGCCGCAUCAGGUUUUCUUCGGGGGGUUCCCUUCCUCUCCUUAUAUACACACUGCUUCAAUAAUAUCGAACGUGAUUGUGCCGCAAGGCCUUUGUUGCAAUA
rnacentral:misc_RNA from 1 species